rnacentral:lncRNA from 10 species
GCCGGUAGCCAUCUUCGUGCAUAGGCAAACUUAUUGUAGCUAGACUGUACAAAGUAUAUCAAGAUAUGCCAAAUAUUGAGCUUAACUUCACCUGUUUGAGAGACGGUGUUUCUUUUAGCUUGCAACACCAUGAAAAAAUUACUGAGACACUAGGAAUGCUGUGAACUGAGAAAGUUUGGGACCUUUGGCAUAACUAAAUCCUUCAUUUAACAGUGUUGUGAACCACUUGUCAUGGGAUAACCAAAAUUAAACCUGGAAUCGCAGAAGAAACAAAUUUUUUGAAGAAAUUGGAUGUACUUUUUUAAAAUUUUUCAUUCAACUAAAACUUUGUUAACUGUUUCUUGGUUGUGGUCUUCUCUAAAUUGUAAUCUUUGGCAUUCACUUCCAAAGUAUCCACCACUAAACUUCAUAACAUUUAUUGUGUCUCUUCAUCAUUAAACUUUGAUGAAUU